rnacentral:rRNA from 1 species
GGAAUAUUGGUCAAUGGACGCGAUUCUGAACCAGCCAAGUCGCGUGCGGGAUGAAGGCCCUCCGGGUCGUAAACCGCUUUAGCCGGGGAGUAACGUGGGGGACGCGUCCCGCAGUGAGAGUACCCGGAGAAUAAGCAUCGGCUAACUCCGUGCCAGCAGCCGCGGUAAUACGGAGGAUGCGAGCGUUAUCCGGAUUUAUUGGGUUUAAAGGGUGCGCAGGCGGCACGUCAAGUCAGCGGUCAAAAUGCGGCGCUCAACGCCGUACCGCCGUUGAAACUGGCGGGCUCGAGUGCGUGGGAGGAUGGCGUAAUGCGCGGUGUAGCGGUGAAAUGCAUAGAUAUCGCGCAGAACCCCGAUUGCGAAGGCAGCUGUCCAUCACGCCACUGACGCUCAUGCACGAAAGCGUGGGUAUCGAACA